AAGUCGUAACAAGGUUUCCGUAGGUGAACCUGCGGAAGGAUCAUUAACACGUAUCCAACGUUAAACAACCCUGUGAACUUUCAACCGCUCUUGUAGAGCAAUCCCGGUAAAUCAAUUGGAGAAAAGGUUUUGAUUCGGGACCUCUUCAGGCUACAAUCGAGCUAGGAGCAGUGGCAUGGUUUUCCUAAGCAGUGCAGAAGGAUCCACUGAGUAAGGAUAACGCCUCACGGUUGCCAGAGGUCGAUCACCGGCCGGCAGACAUGUCAGGGCUAUAUGCCCCCUCAUUACACCUUGCCCUAUCUGGCCCCACGGAAACGUUGGGGCACAAACUUAACAAUGGAUAUCUUGGUUCUC
rnacentral:misc_RNA from 1 species